rnacentral:sRNA from 1 species
UUAAUGCCCUGGAGAGUGAAGUCCUGGGCUUAUUCACAGAACAGGUACAGCAAUGGCAGCAGUAGUGCAAACUAAUUCAUACUCUCACACCACUGUACCUGAACCUUUGUUAAAGUGCAAAGGAAAAUACUGAAGUUUGCCUUGUAUCUAAUAUUGAGCUCCC